AGCUUCAUUAUCGAUGCCGUAAUGACGUAUUCACUUCUCCUGGCAUCCUCGCCUCAAUGGCACCAAAUCUGAGCUCAAGCAACAUUAGGAACAAGCUACAUUGUCUACGGGUGCAUCAGCCUGUGGAACUCUCAAGCCAGCUGCAUAAAUCAUGAAGUGACCAAUGGGUGAUAACAGUCACAAAGCAAAUCUCUAGAAGGUGCAUUAGAAACAUUUUGCUUAUGUAGUGGUGUUAUUGAUUUGAUAUACCAAAAAUUAUUUGAAACCAUUG
rnacentral:lncRNA from 1 species